GACGAACGUUGGCGGCGUGCUUAACACAUGCAAGUCGAACGGAAAGGCCCUGCUUUUGUGGGGUGCUCGAGUGGCGAACGGGUGAGUAACACGUGAGUAACCUGCCCUUGACUUUGGGAUAACUUCAGGAAACUGGGGCUAAUACCGGAUAGGAGCUCCUGCUGCAUGGUGGGGGUUGGAAAGUUUCGGCGGUUGGGGAUGGACUCGCGGCUUAUCAGCUUGUUGGUGGGGUAGUGGCUUACCAAGGCUUUGACGGGUAGCCGGCCUGAGAGGGUGACCGGCCACAUUGGGACUGAGACACGGCCCAGACUCCUACGGGAGGCAGCAGUGGGGAAUAUUGUACAAUGGGCGGAAGCCUGAUGCAGCAACGCCGCGUGCGGGAUGACGGCCUUCGGGUUGUAAACCGCUUUCGCCUGUGACGAAGCGUGAGUGACGGUAAUGGGUAAAGAGGCACCGGCUAACUACGUGCCAGCAGCCGCGGUGAUACGUAGGGUGCGAGCGUUGUCCGGAUUUAUUGGGCGUAAAGGGCUCGUAGGUGGUUGAUCGCGUCGGAAGUGUAAUCUUGGGGCUUAACCCUGAGCGUGCUUUCGAUACGGGUUGACUUGAGGAAGGUAGGGGAGAAUGGAAUUCCUGGUGGAGCGGUGGAAUGCGCAGAUAUCAGGAGGAACACCAGUGGCGAAGGCGGUUCUCUGGGCCUUUCCUGACGCUGAGGAGCGAAAGCGUGGGGAGCGAACAGGCUUAGAUACCCUGGUAGUCCACGCUGUAAACGGUGGGUACUAGGUGUGGGGUCCAUUCCACGGGUUCCGUGCCGUAGCUAACGCUUUAAGUACCCCGCCUGGGGAGUACGGCCGCAAGGCUAAAACUCAAAGGAAUUGACGGGGCCCCGCACAAGCGGCGGAGCAUGCGGAUUAAUUCGAUGCAACGCGUAGAACCUUACCUGGGUUUGACAUGGAUCGGGAGUGCUCAGAGAUGGGUGUGCCUCUUUUGGGGUCGGUUCACAGGUGGUGCAUGGCUGUCGUCAGCUCGUGUCGUGAGAUGUUGGGUUAAGUCCCGCAACGAGCGCAACCCUUGUUCACUGUUGCCAGCACGUUAUGGUGGGGACUCAGUGGAGACCGCCGGGGUCAACUCGGAGGAAGGUGGGGAUGACGUCAAGUCAUCAUGCCCCUUAUGUCCAGGGCUUCACGCAUGCUACAAUGGCUGGUACAGAGAGUGGCGAGCCUGUGAGGGUGAGCGAAUCUCGGAAAGCCGGUCUCAGUUCGGAUUGGGGUCUGCAACUCGACCUCAUGAAGUCGGAGUCGCUAGUAAUCGCAGAUCAGCAACGCUGCGGUGAAUACGUUCCCGGGGCU
rnacentral:rRNA from 1 species